UACGUAGGGGGCAAGCGUUGUUCGGAAUUACUGGGCGUAAAGGGCGCGUAGGCGGCCCUGCAAGUCGGGUGUGAAAACCCGGGGCUCAACCCCGGAACUGCUCACGAAACUGCCGAGCUAGAGUGCGGAAGAGGCAACUGGAAUUCCCAGUGUAGCGGUGAAAUGCGUAGAUAUUGGGAAGAACACCGGAGGCGAAGGCGGGUUGCUGGGACGACACUGACGCUGAGGCGCGAAAGCCAGGGGAGCGAACAGG
rnacentral:rRNA from 1 species